rnacentral:rRNA from 1 species
AUUGAACGCUGGCGGCAGGCCUAACACAUGCAAGUCGAACGAGUGGCGGACGGGUGAGUAAUGUCUGGGAAACUGCCCGAUGGAGGGGGAUAACUACUGGAAACGGUAGCUAAUACCGCAUACCAUCGGAUGUGCCCAGAUGGGAUUAGCUAGUAGGUGGGGUAACGGCUCACCUAGGCGACGAUCCCUAGCUGGUCUGAGAGGAUGACCAGCCACACGGGAACUUAGACACGGUCGAGACGCCUACGGGAGGAAGAAGUGGGGAAUAGUGCACAAUGGGCGCAAGCCUGAUGCAGCCAUGCCGCGUGUAUGAAGAAGGCCUUCGGGUUGUAAAGUACUUUCGACAGGGACGCGGUACCUGUAUAAGAAGCACCGGCUAACUACGUGCCAGCAGCCGCGGUAAUUC